rnacentral:rRNA from 1 species
GCCAGACUCCUACGGGAGGCAGCAGUGGGGAAUAUUGCGCAAUGGGGGGAACCCUGACGCAGCAACGCCGCGUGAGUGAAGAAGGCCUUCGGGUUGUAAAGCUCUUUAAUCAGGGACGAAGAAUGACGGUACCUGAAGAAUAAGCUCCGGCUAACUCCGUGCCAGCAGCCGCGGUAAUACGGAGGGUGCGAGCGUUAAUCGGAAUUACUGGGCGUAAAGCGCUCGUAGGCGGUAUGUCAAGUCAAGGGUGAAAUCCCCGCGCUCAACGUGGGAACUGCCUUUGAAACUGGCAAACUGGAGUGUGUGAGAGGAUAGUGGAAUUCCAGGUGUAGGAGUGAAAUCCGUAGAUAUCUGGAGGAACAUCAGUGGCGAAGGCGACUAUCUGGCACAUAACUGACGCUGAGGAGCGAAAGCGUGGGUAGCAAACAGGAUUAGAUACCCUCGUAC